rnacentral:ncRNA from 1 species
AAAUUUGUAGAUCUUAUUAGUAGGCAACAAAGUAGCUUAGUUUACUUAGGUUAGUUAGUUAGCUUCGGCUUAAGGUAAAUCAGUUUUUAGUUACUAACAGUUGUGUUCAUUGCAUGCUUGAAAUCAAUUUUUGAUGAGGACUGAGCAGUUAUUAAAACUGAAAUUCAGCUGACGCUCACCGCGGACGCUAGCUGCAUCUGUCUCAGCCUCGCGUAGUAUUUUAGCGUCCAAUACUGCUGAUCCGGCCUACCUAGUCGGUGCUCGCUCUUGGUGUUCUUAAUUGAAUGCCCUGAGUGCCAAGUUUACUUUGAAAAAAUUAGAGUGCUCAAAGCAGGCCAUUAGCCGGAAUACUUCAGCAUGGAAUAAUAGAAUAGGACUUCGGUUCUAUUUUGUUGGUUUUCGGAACCCGACGUAAUGAUAAAGAGAGACAGACGGGGGCAUUCGUACUGCGGUGUUAGAGGUGGAAAUUCUUGGAUCGCCGCAAGACGAACAACUGCGAAAGCAUUUGCCAAGAAUGUUUUCAUUAAUUCAAGAACGAAAGUCAGAGGUUCGAAGACGAUCAGAUACCGUCCUAGUUCUGACCAUAAACGAUGCCAACUGGCGAUCCGAGAUCGUUUGCUUAUUGACCUCUCGGGCAGCCUCCGGGAAACCAAAGUUUUUAGGUUCCGGGGGAAGUAUGGUUUCAAAGUUGGAAGCCUUCGGGCUGCCGCGAGUCCAGCUUUUGUGAUUGAGGUAGGUACCGAUGAGCCUGGCCAAGUCGGUCAGUG